rnacentral:rRNA from 1 species
UACGGGGGGGGCGAGCGUUGUUCGGAUUUACUGGGCGUAAAGGGCGCGUAGGCGGCCACCGCAAGUCGACUGUGAAAUCUCCGGGCUUAACCCGGAAAGGUCAGCCGAUACUGCGGGGCUAGAGUGCAGAAGGGGCAACUGGAAUUCUCGGUGUAGCGGUGAAAUGCGUAGAUAUCGAGAGGAACACCUGCGGCGAAGGCGGGUUGCUGGGCUGACACUGACGCUGAUGCGCGAAAGCUAGGGGAGCGAACGGG